ACUCCUACGGGAGGCAGCAGUAGGGAAUCUUCCACAAUGGGCGCAAGCCUGAUGGAGCAACACCGCGUGAGUGAAGAAGGGUUUCGGCUCGUAAAGCUCUGUUGUUAAAGAAGAACACGUAUGAGAGUAACUGUUCAUACGUUGACGGUAUUUAACCAGAAAGUACACGGCUAACUACGUGCCAGCAGCCGCGGUAAUACGUAGGUGGCAAGCGUUAUCCGGAUUUAUUGGGCGUAAAGAGAGUGCAAGCGGUUUUCUAAGUCUGAUGUGAAAGCCUUCGGCUUAACCGGAGAAGUGCAUCGGAAACUGGAUAACUUGAGUGCAGAAGAGGUAGUGGAACUCCAUGUGUAGCGGUGGAAUGCGUAGAUAUAUGGAAGAACACCAGUGGCGAAGGCGGCUACCUGGUCUGCAACUGACGCUGAGACUCGAAAGCAUGGGUAGCGAACAGGAUUAGAUACCCCUGGUAGGAUAGCG
rnacentral:rRNA from 1 species